rnacentral:lncRNA from 1 species
UCUUGAAAAAUAAAUACUAGCCUAACAUGACAAACACUUUUCUUGAAAAAUACUAGCCUAAUAAGACUAAUAUACUAGCCUAACAAGACUAAACUAAAAUACUACAUUUUUUGAAAACUACAAGACUUUUUACAAAAAACUCUUUUAGUCUUCAUUUUGCUCUUUGUCUUCUUCUUCUUUGUCUUUUUCCAUAGUAGGUGGAAGAUAAACUUUAGGAAUAUCUUUUUUUUGGUUGCAAUAAUUGCAAUGGUGCAAGUUGAAUAAGUCCUUCAAUUGUUGACAUAAUUGAUAUUCUGUCUUCUCCAUCAUCUGCUUCGGAUAUGUCCUCAAUGCAUUAGUUAUUGGCGUAAUUUCCCAAUUUGCAAGGGUAGUAAUCCAUCUAGGUAGUUCUUCUAUGUCCUUUG